GUAAAAAAUAAUUCAGUGGCUUAGUAAAUUUCACAAAAAUAAAGAGCUAUAUUAACUUAAUAAAAUCUUUUGAAAUCAUUUAAGUGAUAUUUUGAGUGGGUCAGAUUAAAAAGAAUAAUUAAAAAUCCAACAAAUAAUUUCUAUAAAAUUUACAUAUAUUAUUUAAGUUUAUGUAAUGAAAAUAAAUAAGUAUUUAACUAACUAAUUAUAUUUUUAAUAUACCUUCAAUAUUUCUGGUGAAUUCUAAUAGAAAUAUUUGAUAAUUAUUUACUUGUACUGAUCUGUUUUAGAAACUAAAAUUAUUAAGUAUUUCCAACCAAUUUUCCUAAAUAAAGUUCCAGCUUAAUAAAUGACAGUUUAAAUAAAUUGAGUAAAUUUCGCGGCUAAAGUGAUCACGUGUGCAGCUCCGCAGGAAAAAAAAAAUCUGCUUUCCUCAGCAGCGACGUCGACUGGCCAUACACCUCACAGCUCCUGGUAAGUAAGGUUAGUCAGCUAAUCCUACUUACGUUUGUAACACUUUAUUAAAAAGUUAAUAAUUAUUAAGCAUUUUCUAACAAUUGUCUUUGUAUUUUACGUCAUAUUCAACAAGUUUCGUAGCUUAAUCGAAGUCACCUGAAGGACGGCUUUCCUCAGCAACGGCAAGACCCGCACUCCUCUCAUUUUGUGAAGUUUAACAAGUUUCGCGGCUCAAACAAGAGGCACCUGUCACUGAAGGACUGCUUUUCUCAGCAACGACGUGAACAGCAUUACUCGAAUUUCUUGGUUCAGCUGAUCUACCCGUCUUCGUACACGCAGAGUUGGCAGAGGAGGUCAUAAAAAUCUACAUCCUUCGGAACAAUAAUGGGGCAGUCAGCGACGUAAUCUUGGGAAUCUCAGCAGAGCCUGCUGCCAUCUUUCAGGAGUCACAUUGGAUUUGAGAUAUCCCAAGACCCACAAAUACAGGUCCUUCUCCAAAAAUUAGCAUAUUGUGAUAAAGUUCAUUAUUUUCCAUAAUGUAAUGAUAAAAAUUAAACUUUCAUAUAUUUUAGAUUCAUUGCACACCAACUGAAAUAUUUCAGGUCUUUUAUUGUUUAAAUACUGAUGCUUUUGGCAUACAGCUCAUGAAAACCAUAAAUUCCUAUCUCAAAAAAAUAGCUUAUUUCAUCUGACCAAUAAAAGUGUUUUUAAUACAAAAAAGUCAACCUUCAAAUAAUUAUGUUCAGUUAUGCACUCAAUACUUGGUGGGGAAUCCUUUUGCAGAAAUGACUGCUUCAAUGCGGCGUGGCAUGGAGGCAAUCAGCCUGUGGAGGCCCACGAUGCUUCGAUAGUGGCCUUAAGCUCAUCCAGAGUGUUUUGUCUUGCGUCUCUUAACUUUCUCUUCACAAUAUCCCACAGAUUCUCUAUGGGGUUCAGGUCAGGAGAGUUGGUAGGCCAAUUGAGCACAGUAAUACCAUGGUCAGUAAACCAUUUACCAGUGUGAGCAGGUGCCAGGUCGUGCUGAAAAGUGAAAUCUUCAUCUCCAUAAAGCUUUUCAACAGAUGGAAACAUGAAGUGCUCCCAAAUCUCCUGAUAACUAGCUGCAUUGACCCCUGCCCUUGAUAAAACACAGUGGACCAACACCAGCAUCACUGACUGUGGGUACUUGAUACUGGACUUCAGGCAUUUUGGCAUUUCCUUCUCCCCAGUCUUCCUCCAGACUCUGGCACCUUGAUUUCCAAAUGACAUGCAAAAUUAGCUUUCAUCCGAAAAAAGUACUUUGGACCACUGAUCAACAGUCCAGUGCUGCUUCUCUGUAGCCCAUUUCCUGCACACGCCUGUGCACGGUGGCUCUGGAUGUUUCUACUCCAGACUCAGUCCACAAUCUUCCUCGGGGUCCGGUCACCUCUUCUCGUUGUG